GGGAUGACAGGACAUGAAAUCCCACGAGAAUUGGAGAAGCAAAAGUCAGCCAGAGGGCUCAGCGGUUCAGCAGCCAAAAGCACAGGUUAUCACAGAAUAUUGAGUAAAGUUCCCUGUGCUAUACGGUUAUUACAUAACACUGAGUAUGGUU